rnacentral:rRNA from 1 species
CGGGAGUAAUGUCUGGGAAACUGCCUGAUGAGGGGGAGUAACUACUGGAAACGGUAGCUAAUACCGCAUAACGUCGCAAGACCAAAGUGGGGGACCUUCGGGCCUCAUGCCAUCAGAUGUGCCCAGAUGGGAUUAGCUAGUAGGUGGGGUAACGGCUCACCUAGGCGACGAUCCCUAGCUGGUCUGAGAGGAUGACCAGCCACACUGGAACUGAGACACGGUCCAG